AUUGAACGCUGGCGGCAUGCCUUACACAUGCAAGUCGAACGGCAGCACGGGUGCUCGCACCUGGUGGCGAGUGGCGAACGGGUGAGUAAUAUAUCGGAACGUACCUUAUUGUGGGGGAUAACGCAGCGAAAGCUGUGCUAAUACCACAUAAUCCCUAAGGGGGAAAGCGGGGGACCGUAAGGCCUCGCGCAAUUAGAGCGGCCGAUACCUGAUUAGCUAGUUGGUGAGGUAAAGGCUCACCAAGGCAACGAUCAGUAGCUGGUCUGAGAGGACGAUCAGCCACACUGGGACUGAGACACGGCCCAGACUCCUACGGGAGGCAGCAGUGGGGAAUUUUGGACAAUGGGGGCAACCCUGAUCCAGCAAUGCCGCGUGAGUGAAGAAGGCCUUCGGGUUGUAAAGCUCUUUUGUCAGGGAAGAAACAGCAGCUCUAACACAGUCUGCGAAUGACGGUACCUGAAGAAUAAGCACCGGCUAACUACGUGCCAGCAGCCGCAGUAA
rnacentral:rRNA from 1 species